ACUUGGAAAUAAAAGAUCAUGAGAAUAAAGUGGACAACUUUUAAAAGGUUUAUGAGGGCUUUACAUAAUUGUUGUUUGUUUUUUUUUUUUUUGAGAUGGAGUUUUGCUCGUUACCCAAGCUGGAGUGCAAUGGCGCAAUCUUGGCCCACUGCAACCUCCACCUCCUGGGUUCAAGUGAUUCUCCUGCCUGAGCCUCCCGAGUAGCUGGGAUUACAGGCACGUGCCACCACACCUGACUAAUUUUGUGUAUUUUUAGUAGAGACGGUGUUUCACCAUUUUGGUCAGGCUGGUCUUGAACUCCUAACCGCAGGUGAUCCACCCACCUUGGCCUCCCAAAGUGCUGGGAUUAUGGGUGUGAGCCACCACGCCUGGCCUACAUAAUUAUUUUAAUGAACCUCUCAGUUCAUCACAUUAAUGCAGGGUCUGUCAUAGAAAACAUUUUUUCUAAUUCUUGAAACUGAAGUUUGUAUAAUUCCAACCAGUGUGGAAAUCUAUCUUGCGAUAACCAGAAAUAUUCCUCCACCAUGAGGUCCAAAAUAAAGUUGAAAGUAGCUGAUAUGGGACCACAGAAUAUUGGCCAAUCAGUGUUUUACAUAAUGUCUGUGGAGUGGCCAUGUGCUCUAGAAGAGUGAGACAACCUUGGCAUAACCUUCUUUAAGAGCCAAUCACAUAACACUGUGAAUAUUUAUAAAAUUUUAGACCAUUACCUGUUUCAGCUCCCUUUGAUGAUUCAUGCUAAGGGUAGAGAACCAGAAGAUGUUCUCAGAUGCAAAUGCAUUUCUGGAAAAAAAAUAUAUGUGAGAUGUUUCUUUGAAUGACACAGGAGGACAAUUUAAAAAUCUGUCCUGGAAUCUCUCAAAUUAGUAUCUGAGACCGGAUCCUUGAGAAUUAGAAAGGUCCAUGAGAAUUGUUUUUUGUAUAUUAUCCCUCAUUUUGAUGAUUGUAAUGACUAUACUUAUACCUAAACAAGUAAUAAAUAAAUGCAUUUGGCUUCCUUACCUUGAGUAUUGAAUCAACAUUUGAAAACAAAGUAAUCAACCUUUGGCAAUUUGUCCUUCAGAGAGAGAAAAACUCCCUUAGAAACCCAUAUUAAAAGAAACGUGCACAUGUAUCCCAGAACUUAAAGUAAAAUAAAAAAUAAAAGAAAAGAAAAGAAACAUGGGGAAAAAGGAGCAAGAGGAAGUUGAGAAGAAAAUUCAAGAAGGUGGUGCUACAAGGGCUUCUCAAUUUUGUACUUUUUCCUUUCAACAUUUUCUCUCCUGGACCCAAGAAACAUCAAAGGACUUUGUAUUCUCCAGUGAAUGAAGGAUAAAAAUUAGACAUGGAGACACUUGGUUUGGCAGAGCAGGGAUCCAAGCUAGAUAAAUUACAUUCCAGAAGUGGGAUUUCAGAUAACAUUCAGCGUGGAGUGCAGGAGUUGAAAUGGUGAGGGUAAACAAGGAGACAAGUUCAAAGAUGACAAGCCUGAAGACCGUGAGUUAAGAUCAUAGAGCCACAGACCAGAAGCAGCCUGCAUCCCUGAAUCCCAGUACGGAAUAAAGUGUCACCUGAACUGCUUCAGACUUUGUGGGAAUGAGAAACAAACCUUCCUUU
rnacentral:lncRNA from 1 species